UGGGGAAUAUUGGACAAUGGGGGCAACCCUGAUCCAGCCAUGCCGCGUGAGUGAUGAAGGCCUUAGGGUUGUAAAGCUCUUUCGCCCGCGAAGAUAAUGACGGUAGCGGGAGAAGAAGCCCCGGCUAACUUCGUGCCAGCAGCCGCGGUAAUACGAAGGGGGCUAGCGUUGUUCGGAAUCACUGGGCGUAAAGCGUACGUAGGCGGAUGAAUAAGUCAGGGGUGAAAGCCUGGAGCUCAACUCCAGAACUGCCUUUGAUACUGUUUGUCUUGAGUCCGGGAGAGGUGAGUGGAACUGCUAGUGUAGAGGUGAAAUUCGUAGAUAUUAGCAAGAACACCAGUGGCGAAGGCGGCUCACUGGCCCGGUACUGACGCUGAGGUACGAAAGCGUGGGGAGCAAACAGG
rnacentral:rRNA from 1 species